AUUGAACGCUGGCGGCAGGCUUAACACAUGCAAGUCGAGCGGGGGAGGUUGCUUCGGUAACUGACCUAGCGGCGGACGGGUGAGUAAUGCUUAGGAAUCUGCCUAUUAGUGGGGGACAACAUUCCGAAAGGGAUGCUAAUACCGCAUACGCCCUACGGGGGAAAGCAGGGGAUCUUCGGACCUUGCGCUAAUAGAUGAGCCUAAGUCGGAUUAGCUAGUUGGUGGGGUAAAGGCCUACCAAGGCGACGAUCUGUAGCGGGUCUGAGAGGAUGAUCCGCCACACUGGGACUGAGACACGGCCCAGAAUCCUACGGGAGGCAGCAGUGGGGAAUAUUGGACAAUGGGCGGAAGCCUGAUCCAGCCAUGCCGCGUGUGUGAAGAAGGCCUUUUGGUUGUAAAGCACUUUAAGCGAGGAGGAGGCUCUUAAGGUUAAUACCCUUGAUGAGUGGACGUUACUCGCAGAAUAAGCACCGGCUAACUCUGUGCCAGCCGCCGCGGUAAGAC
rnacentral:rRNA from 1 species